AAUAGUGUGAAAUUAUAAUAAAUACCUUCAAAAACAGUGCACAGCUUUUACAAUCUUUUGCUUUGCAGUCAAUCUCUUACAUAAUUAUAUACGAACACGAUGCAUGCAUUACUGAUUAGGCCCUGCAUCGUACCCAAGCGCUUUGGUUUGUUUACGUCAUUAAGUGCACGCGGGACGGCACGCGAAUGAGGCCACGCAAGCCAUAGAACAACACAUGGCGCCUGGGGUACUGGGUACAAAGCAGGAUUAGGCCAUUGCCACAUAUAUGAGAAUGGAAGUCAUAUAUAUAGCCACAUGCUGUUCAAAAUUACAAAUAUAUUGCAAUUUGCAAAUCUAUGACUUUUCAUUCCCAUGGCUUUAUUCCAGCGUACAUUUUCACAUUUCCAGGAUUUACAUAUACACGUAUGAAUCUAUACAGUAUAAAGACAUUAGAAUAUAGUUUUCAUUUGUUCUUAAUACAAUAUUUUUUCUUAGUUGUAAUACUGACGAGUGACGACACAAUCGGCUACACACUAAUCGCUUUCAGAAGUUGUUGCGGGACACAUGUAGUUUUAGUUAAGUACAGGUCACACUACACAAC